AUGGAGUUUUGUGUGUGUGUGUGUGUUGUCUGCAGGACUCAAAGUUCCCACCACUAUCACAGUGACACUGCGUGGGCAGCCCAGCAGGAUUCCUGCUCUCAGCCACACGGUGACGCCAGCGCCUGCUCACAGCGCACCGGACAACCAGUGACCAGAAACUCUGAAAUGGACGACAUGAAGCUGAAAUGGCCGUCAGUCACACAUCCAAUGAGCAUCCAAAAGCAUGAACAGAUGAACCGAGAGGAAUCAAAUGAAGAAACCCGGUUUAAAGCCUCAGAGUCUGCUGAUUUACCUUACAACCUGCAAAAGCGCCAUCUAUAGACACUUUCUUGCACAUGUGGAUGAAAACUUGACUUUACACUUAAUUUAUCUAUUUUCUUUUUCCUUAUUCUGUUAUACUCUGGUUGUACAGCAUCAUGGGUAAUUUAUUGGAAAAUGCACUUAUUAUUCUUAACAGUUUUAACAGUCAUUCCAUCUAGUUCAUAAAAAUGUUUUGCCAAAAUAUAAUUUUUGAUUUGUUUCAUUUUGCCAGAAAGGUUUGUUGUUAAACAUUUGCACAGAACCCCAGCAGAGCCUGAGCUUUAUUUCCUCACAACCAUAAAGAGCCUGAGAAAAAUGGACCAUUUAACUGUCAAAAUACUGCUAAUAAAAUCAAGAUAUUUAAAAGACGACACAAGAGUUUUUUUUUUUUUAUAUUAUUGAUUUUUCCCCAACAUUUUGUAUGUCCACUGUCUUUUAUGCAUCAGUCUUUCCUCACAACAUCAGGAUAGCUGUCCUUCAAAUAACCCUCAUGAUUAUGCCAACAGGGAUAAUAAUAUGUCUGCCUGAUUAAGUCACUAUUGUUUUGAUUGCUGACUGUUUUUAUUGCCCCUAAUGAGGGAAACUAGUGGAGGUUGACAAGCAUGAAACGGAAAGGUAGACACUUAUUAAUGCAGCAGUUUGUGCCCUCAAAACAUAACCCCCGGUUUCACAGACAAGACUUAAGCCUAGUCCCAGACUAAAAUGCAUGUCUGUUUUAUCUGAAAGAAACUCGCAGGGCAGAGGUUGCCAAAACGUUUGAUACCAAGGACCCAAGUAUAUUAUCCAACUUAUUUUUCAAUGCAGAAGAUAUUUGUGAAUGCGCAGAACUUUCAUUAGCAGAUGUAUAUAAGGUCCAGUAUACUGUGUAAAUAUGAAGGAAUUAAUAAUUAUAAUCCUUAUAAAUGAUACAUUGCAUUGUGUUUUGUUUUAAGGUUAAAGGAAAUGUUUGUAAAAUUAACGGAUAAUGUCCUGACAGAAAAUUACCAGCACCUGGUAUUUCUGAUUAUCUACAUUUUUUUUUCUAACAUUGUAAAAGAAUAACAAAGUGAUGUAAACAGUAAAACUACAGUGUGUUUGUGAAUAUGAUAAUAAAUGAAAAUAAUAUGAUAACAAAUACAAGUUUGCAACAUCAUACUGCUAAAAUAAGUGGAAGCAGAUGACAAACCAUACACAUUGUGCGUAAAUACCGGCUCUUACAUUAUAAAAUAAUCUGUAUAAAUAAUUUUAUGGCAGCUAUAUAAUUUCAUGUGUGAAAAACUUAUUUUGGGGUUUAUAAGAACAUCAUAACGCAUUAUGAUGACAGUAAAAUAAAAUAUUAAAUUUUAUUAAAAUAUUAAAUAAUUGUCUUUUAUUUUGUACAUUUUACUGAAUAUUUAUUUAAUUACACUGAAAGUGUAUAUUUUCUAUCCACUAAUAAUGUUAGGAGUAUUGUUUUUUUUUGUUUUAUUAUUAAUUAAAAUUUAAUUGUAAAAUAGUUCUGAUUAAUCUCAUGUCUCAAACAUUUACUCAUUUGGUAAAGGUAUUAAAAACAUAAACGAUAUGGUUAGGAGUAUGUUUUUUUUUUUGUUUAUUAUUAAUUAAAUUUAAUUGUAAAAUAGUUCUGAUUAAUCUCAUGUCUCAAACAUUUACUCAUUUGGUAAAGGUAUUAAAAACAUAAACGAUAUGUGAAGUAAUUUUGAUAAUGCAAAAAAAAAAAACAACAACAACAAAAACACUUAUGUCUUUUCCCCACAAAAUUUUGUGUGGACCAAAGGACUCCCUUGUGGCCCAGUUAAAAACUUAAUUUAUAGGGUGUUCUGUGUGAUUCCUAGGCGGUUGCUAGUGUAUUUUGGACGGUUGCUGGGGUGUUCUGGGUGAUCGUCCAGCCCAUCAUCCCUACAUUCAUGUCUUCCAUUUUUUCUUGUUCCUUCCAUCUCUUGUCUUCCGUCCACAAGUUCCCAUGGGCUUGCUACUUAAAAUUUAAUUGUAAAAUAGUUCUGAUUAAUCUCAUGUCUCAAACAUUUACUCAUUUGGUAAAGGUAUUAAAAACAUAAACGAUAUGUGAAGUAAUUUUGAUAAUGCAAAAAAAAAAAACAACAACAACAAAAACACUUAUGUCUUUUCCCCACAAAAUUUUGUGUGGACCAAAGGACUCCCUUGUGGCCCAGUUAAAAACUUAAUUUAUAGGGUGUUCUGUGUGAUUCCUAGGCGGUUGCUAGUGUAUUUUGGACGGUUGCUGGGGUGUUCUGGGUGAUCGUCCAGCCCAUCAUCCCUACAUUCAUGUCUUCCAUUUUUUCUUGUUCCUUCCAUCUCUUGUCUUCCGUCCACAAGUUCCCAUGGGCUUGCUACUAUUAAAACUACCUGUCCUGGUUUUCCAUCAUGUCCCUCUUAAAUUAAUUGUAAGGAUAUGAUAUAAUGGUGUCAUUGCUUCAUUUCCAGUCUCUCAAUACAGUAUGCCUGGAGGGCUGCAAUGUUUCUCUAGGUUGAUAAAUAAAUCCAGGUUGACAUCCAGAAGUGAUUCUUUUAAUAUUAUGUCCUGGAUUGUGUACAUUAAAAUUGAUUACACUUUCCAAAGAAUUCCCAGCCGUGUUUCCAAUGAAGGAUUUACAUAAUGGAAUUUGAUGUACUGUAUGACACAAAAAUGGUUUUAAUCUCAAAAACGCUGCAGUUCAUACACAGUCUGUCGGCCACAGACUAAAGGAGCUUUCUAGACAUGACAUUUCCACCUGAAGGAUAAAGAUGAAACUUAAGUAAAUAAAAUCUUGAGGUGCAAAUGUGAGCAAACAGUAAUACAAAUAAUUUCCUUGCUUUAACCUCUCACUCACAUCAAACAGGAUAUAAAUACUUGACUAUAAUCACACAAAAUAACUGUUUAUGUCAAGUUGGGUGAUUGUCCAAACACUGACUCAAAUUGGGAAGUCACAGAAAACACUGAGUCUGAGAAAACACUCUUUCCACGUCCUUAAAAUCACUGACACUUCUAUGACUCAUUGAAAUUGUGAUGAAAUGUUUUCAACACUUUGUAUUCACAUCAUAAC
rnacentral:lncRNA from 1 species